AGUGAAUAGAUACCCGGGUAGUCCACGCUGUAAACGAUGAUUACUCGUUGUUGGGCAGUGAUGCUCAGUGGCUAAAGCGAAAGCGAUAAGUAAUCCACCUGGGGAGUACGAUCGCAAGGUUGAAACUCAAAGGAAUUGACGGGGGCCCGCACAAGCGGAGGAGCAUGUGGUUUAAUUCGAUGAUACGCGAGGAACCUUACCCGGGCUUGAACGUAAGACGAAUAUAUAAGAGAUUAUAUAGCCUUCGGGCGUCUUGCGAGGUGCUGCAUGGUUGUCGUCAGCUCGUGCCGUGAGGUGUUAGGUUAAGUCCUGCAACGAGCGCAACCCUUACACUUAGUUGCCAGCACGUUAUGGUGGGGACGUCUAAGUGAACUGCCUACGCAAGUAGAGGGGAAGGUGGGGAUGACGUCAAAUCAGCACGGCCCUUAUGUCCGGGCUACACACGUGCUACAAUGGUAUGUACAGAGGGCAGCCACCUGGUGAC
rnacentral:rRNA from 1 species